AGUGAAUCUCCUCUCUGUGUAGAAAAAAAACUGAGUGCCUGUGUGACCAAACUCUGGACGCCGUUGCCCGAUAGCUAAACAACCGUGCGUAUGUAGAAUGAAGUUUUUAACAAACACUACGGAUUGCAGCACAGAACAAAUUAAGUGUUUAACUAAACCACAGAUUGCAGCACCAAAAUAAAAUAAAAACGCAGUUACACUGGACAAACAUACGUACAAGGCCGGUGGUGGCUGGCCCGCUCCAGGAGUCUGAGGUGCGGGAGGUUCCUCCACCCCCUCUGGACAUCGAGGGGGCCCCGUCGUACUCUGUUCGUUCCACACUGGAUUCGAGAGGUCGGGCGAGGGGCCUUCAGUACCUCAUGGACUGGGAGGGGUAUGGUCCGGAGAAGAUGCUGGGUUCCGUUGGAGGACGUAUUGGAUCUUUAUAUGCUGCGAGACUUCCACCGUCUCCAUCCGGAUCGCCCUGCACCUCGCCCUCUGGGUCGUCCCCGAGGUCUGUGUCGACGUGCUGCUGGAUACGCGUGUCGGGGGGGUACUGUCACGACUUCUGCCCAAGUCGGUCCCUCUCCUUGUUCGGGCGGUGUUCGGCGGUCGACGUCACCGAUCUUCUACCGAUCACUGAUCCAUUUUCCAUUGGUUUUGUCUCGUCUUCCUUCACACCUGGUUCCAUCAAUUACAUGUUGUGUAUUUAACCCUCUGUUUCCCCUCGUGUCCUUGUUGGAGAUUUGUUUGUAUGUUAGUGCUAUUAUGUGUUGGUGCGCAAUGGGUUUUGUACCCAUUUUAUUAUUUUUUGUAUGUUUUGGAGUUUGUUUGUCUUUCUUAUUAAAUGACUCCGUUUAUACCAA